rnacentral:rRNA from 1 species
AAUGGGCGAAAGCCUGACGCAGCAACGCCGCGUGCGGGAUGACGGCCUUCGUGGUUGUAAACCGCUUUCAGCAGGGACGAAAAUGACGGUACCUGCAGAAGAAGCCCCGGCUAACUACGUGCCAGCAGCCGCGGUAAUACGUAGGGGGCAAGCGUUGUCCGGAUUCAUUGGGCGUAAAGAGCUCGUAGGCGGUUCAGUAAGUUGGGUGUGAAAGCUCCGGGCUCAACCCGGAGAGGCCACCCAAUACUGCUGUGACUAGAGUCCAGUAGAGGAGCGUGGAAUUCCUGGUGUAGCGGUGAAAUGCGCAGAUAUCAGGAGGAACACCAUUAGCGAAGGCGGCGCUCUGGGCUGGAACUGACGCUGAGGAGCGAAAGCGUGGGUAGCAAA